rnacentral:lncRNA from 1 species
UAUCCCCAGAAUGAGGGAGCACAUUGGUAUGAACACCAAACUAAUCAUGUUUCUUUUUGACUUUCAGAUCAAGGGUUGCCACUUAUCCCUUAGGUGAACUCUUUUACUAUACAAAAGCUCAUGCAAGUACCAGCAAAAGGAAAAUAUUGCAAUUCCCUUUUCUCUGUGUGGAAUUUAUAUGGAAAGAAGUUGUGGAGACAGGAAGAGUUUUUAGAAGGGACAGAACCACUUGAACAUAUAUUCCUUUACCUAAAUUAUGGUUGGGAACUCCUGGCAGCUGUUUGGAGUUUGCGGCUUGCAGUCUUUUUAGCAUCUAACUCAGCAGUUCAAAUCACAGCUGUGAGAUCAGGAAAUGGGAUCAAAGUGCAGUUCAGACUUCAUCUACACAGUGCCAAAGAAACAGAGACUUAACCUGAAUAGUGACAAAAAGAGCACACAUGUAAAAAAGAAAGAAACCAAUCCAGGGGCCGAGAUAACAUCUUCCUGGGAAAUUUUGGAUGAAGCAUUUUACCUCAAUAGGACAUUUUACUACUUAAUGGACCAAACCAACUUCCCAGUUUGGAAAGCCUCAACCAACUGAAUUUCUCUUCCCUA